CAUUAAGUGCCCCGCCUGGGGAGUACGGCCGCAAGGCUAAAACUCAAAGGAAUUGACGGGGGCCCGCACAAGCGGUGGAGCAUGGGGUUUAAUUCGAUGCAACGCGAAGAACCUUACCAAGGCUUGACAUGUUCCAGACCGCCUCAGAGAUGGGGUUUCCCUUCGGGGCUGGUUCACAGGUGGUGCAUGGUUGUCGUCAGCUCGUGUCGUGAGAUGUUGGGUUA
rnacentral:rRNA from 16 species